GAGAUCGCAGCAGAGAAAAAUAAAAGCAAGCUGAAACCCUCACAGCCGAGGAAAGGGUGGCAGCUGGCUUUACCUUACCAUAUGCUCUUGAGAUACUUAAAGACACAUUUUGAACUCAGUAUUCUGAAAUGUGAAUAUCAAACUGUUUGGCUGCACUGAAGGAUGUGAAGCAACAUAAAUAAUUAAUGUCCCAGGAAUCCCUUGUUCUGGAACAAAAUGACCUGCCAAACGUAACAGUGAGGGGUUACUGGCAGGUCCGGACCCGCUGAGGGGAGGCCAUUGUGAACCUCAUAGUGCCUACAGGGUUUGCUACACUUUAAUUCUUCACCCUCCUACUCUGGACGUGAUAAUAAUUUUAUAAGACAAAUACCCAGGAGCUGUCUAUCACCUGGGAGGGAAACGGUAGGCGUGAGGCUAUUGUUAAAAGGAAUCUGGGACCUCCCUCACCACCACCACCACCACCACCACCACAGCAAAGAGGACUGCAAGGGGGCAAUGGUCUUCACCACAAGGGGACCACCAUGCUGCUCUCCAAGGAACCAGCGUACCCCUUAGUACUGGGAGAAUCCCCUCAUUGCUAAUAUCAUCCUGCCUGGAAGGUGGCAGCAAAAACCAGCCAUGGAGACUGUGGAGUCCGCCUGGAUGGGUGGGUGCCCCACCCAGAGCCUUUGUCCGCUCUGCUUGUCACCCAGCAAAGUCAUCCCCCCUCAUCUUUUGCUGGGGACCCCCAGCCCUCAUAGAGGGGGCUUGCCUGGCACCUGCUAUGGCAGUGGAACAUCAGGAGACCCUUUAUAUGUGUUUAAAAUUUUUCAUUUUGGUGUACUAUCCUGUCCCUGCACAGAUUGGCAGGAGGUCCUUUCCCAACUCGUCCUUCAGCUGCCCUUCACCGCAGAUCUCUUUCCUAGGGGUCAUGGCUCAAGAUCUGCCUGAAAAAUCACCCCUCUGUGAUGCACUGGAGAAGAGAAAGAGGUCGAUGCAUCGUUUCUGUUUUUUUGUUUUGUUUUGUUUCUACAAUAGAUGGUCGAACGACGGGGAUCCACUUAGCUGGCAGGUAACAUUUCAUGUUUUUGCUAGUGGACCCUAAAGCCAGAUGGAGAAGGUGAUGGAUCUCCUGCCCCGCGGUACAACCUGCAGUGCUGUCCCUUGAGCUUGGCGCGCUGCGCUGGGGGUGUCGGGCCGCUCCCGCUCAACCAGACUGUGGAGACCCUCAGGACGACUCUUCCCAGGAGGCGCGCAUCCCGCCUCUCUACCUGGGGCUGGAGCCUCCUCACUUUGAGAACACACAACUUCGUUGCCUAAAAGGGACGCGCGGCUCGCCAUCCCCGCUAGAUGGCGCGAUUUCCCCUGCUCCGUCCGCGAGGCACCCGAUUUAUUAAAUAAACACAAUUCAACGCCUUCCGAAGCCACACCACAUAAUAGCAACUCGCAGGCUCCUAUUAAAAAUCUCAAUCUGGGGGAACGGAUUGUGCCUCCGAGCAAAUCUAAUGCAAUUUCAUUAACGGGAUGCAACCAAGAAUUGCAACCUAGCGUCCCUGCCCUCCCGUGGGCCCUCCCCCUAAGUACACCUGUACCCCGGCUUCGGCCGGUUCCCUGGGGGAGCCACGGCGCGAGCCGGGCGUGGAACCGUGUCCGCGCCCCGCCCGCCACACCCUCGGGGCUCCGAUCCGCGAGCACAGACCCAAGUCCCGGACCCUCCCGCGCUCCGGUGCGCCCGGUUCUAGGGACCGCUCGGACCCGAGUCCCGACCAAGCAGCGCCCAGGGCCCCGGGAGCAGGCGCUCGUCUCGCGACCGUGCCGCGGGGGCAGGCAGCCAGGCGGGAGCAGGAGGAGGGGACCCGGGGCAGCCGGGCCAAUGGGGGUGCACGGCGGUCGGCCCUCCGCCCGCUCCGUCCCGCGGCGGAGAGGAGCAGACGCGCCGCAGGACCGGGGCUCCCCGCCCGCACGCGGCCCAGGAGACGCUCGCCGGCUCGGCCCAAGCACGCGCUGCCGGCGGCCCGCGGAGAGCAUCGCAGGAAGAAAGAGCAAAUAUUAAACCACAGAAACUUUACUGCUGCCAAGAGCUAGAGCGAUCGGGGCGCAGCAAAGCUCCGAGUCUGGGCAAGGCGGGCGCAAGGCGGGAGCGAGACGCGGCGCGGGGCUGGCGGCUCAGCACUGCCGUGGCCCCGCGGGUGCCGGGGCG